CCAGACUCCUACGGGAGGCAGCAGUGGGGAAUUUUGGACAAUGGGCGAAAGCCUGAUCCAGCAAUGCCGCGUGAGUGAAGAAGGCCUUCGGGUUGUAAAGCUCUUUUGUCAGGGAAGAAACGGUGAGGGCUAAUAUCUCUUGCUAAUGACGGUACCUGAAGAAUAAGCACCGGCUAACUACGUGCCAGCAGCCGCGGUAAUACGUAGGGUGCAAGCGUUAAUCGGAAUUACUGGGCGUAAAGCGUGCGCAGGCGGUUUUGUAAGUCUGAUGUGAAAUCCCCGGGCUCAACCUGGGAAUUGCAUUGGAGACUGCAAGGCUAGAAUCUGGCAGAGGGGGGUAGAAUUCCACGUGUAGCAGUGAAAUGCGUAGAUAUGUGGAGGAACACCGAUGGCGAAGGCAGCCCCCUGGGUCAAGAUUGACGCUCAUGCACGAAAGCGUGGGGAGCAAACAGGAUUAGAUACCCUGGUAGUCCACGCCCUAAACGAUGUCUACUAGUUGUCGGGUCUUAAUUGACUUGGUAACGCAGCUAACGCGUGAAGUAGACCGCCUGGGGAGUACGGUCGCAAGAUUAAAACUCAAAGGAAUUGACGGGGACCCGCACAAGCGGUGGAUGAUGUGGAUUAAUUCGAUGCAACGCGAAAAACCUUACCUACCCUUGACAUGGAUGGAAUCCCGGAGAGAU
rnacentral:rRNA from 1 species